rnacentral:sRNA from 1 species
GAAGUGGAAGAAUGCGAGGGAGGGAAA